CUGCCUUUGAGGGCGCCGAGGAGGACCACGGGCUAGGGAGGGAAGCAGACCCCUGGGUCCACAUGGCCAGCCUCAGUUCCACAGCUUCAUUGAGCUGAGGUCAACUCAGUAUAGGGAAAAAAGUGCCCCCCCCCCAGACGCGAAAUCGCUUUGCUAGAGCCUAAGAACAACAAAAGGUAAACAAAACCAGCAAGGACUCUUAGGGAUACAUGCUUUGGGAUGCAAAGCUGCUCAGGAGACUGGGCUGGAAAGGUCUACAAUCUCAGCGGGGAAUCCGGAACUACCUGACCAAUUGUGCCGGCUGCCGCUAACUGUGAUUGGUCCUCAGAGCCAUGGUUUCCGAAGUAUCUUAUGACUCUCAGGAGACAAAGGUGCUUGCUGUCAGACUGAAGACCGAGAUUCGGUUGCUGGAACCCAUUUGGUGGGAGAAGAAGAGUGACACCUGCAAAUUGUUCUGGAUUCCAGUCCUGUGUAAGAGCCAGCGCCCUUAGCGCCCCAGCCCUCCACAUGUAGCUUUGGAGGAAACCGAUGAGCCGCUUCCACGCUUUGGAGGAAACCGAUGAGCCGCUUCCACGCUUUGGAGGAAACCGAUGAGCCGCUUCCACGCUUUGGAGGAAACCGAUGAGCCGCUUCCACGCUUUGGAGGAAACCGAUGAGCCGCUUCCACGCUUUGGAGGAAACCGAUGAGCCGCUUCCACGCUUUGGAGGAAACCGAUGAGCCGCUUCCACGCUUUGGAGGAAACCGAUGAGCCGCUUCCACGCUUUGGAGGAAACCGAUGAGCCGCUUCCACGCUUUGGAGGAAACCGAUGAGCCGCUUCCACGCUUUGGAGGAAACCGAUGAGCCGCUUCCACGCUUUGGAGGAAACCGAUGAGCCGCUUCCACGCUUUGGAGGAAACCGAUGAGCCGCUUCCCCGGGUGCUCACGGUUCGCUCUCCCACCUCAGUGUAGCGCUCUGCUUUCUCUGUAUUGCACAGAACUCGGUGGUGGUGUUUCUAAGUCUCGCUGCAUCUUCCUGUCCCACAAUGAUCCUUUUCGUCGUGUGCCUGAUGGACAGAGAUGUGGAACCUCCUGCUCAUGGUCCAUUUUCUCUGGAGAGAAGUCUCUUCAUGUCUCUUGUUGAAUUUCUAUUUGGGCUGCUUUGGUUUAAAAAUGCCUGAAUUUGGA